UACGUAGGUGGCAAGCGUUGUCCGGAAUUAUUGGGCGUAAAGCGCGCGCAGGCGGUCCUUUAAGUCUGAUGGGAAAGCCCACGGCUCAACCGUGGAGGGUCAUUGGAAACUGGGGGACUUGAGUACAGAAGAGGAAAGCGGAAUUCCACGUGUAGCGGUGAAAUGCGUAGAGAUGUGGAGGAACACCAGUGGCGAAGGCGGCUUUCUGGUCCGUAACUGACGCUGAGGCGCGAAAGCGUGGGGAGCGAACAGG
rnacentral:rRNA from 1 species